UACUACAGGUCCACCCACUCUGUCUCUGUGCGUCGUAUCUCGGUCAGAGGCAUUAAACUUUGAGAGACGGUGAAUCUGGACGGCCCCCGCAUAGGUUGUAGGUUUGGCAGUUUGGCUGAUGAGGGUGAUGUUAAUUCAGUGGAAUCAUCAUCGCUUGGACUAGUAGUUUGCAGCACCUGAGUCAUAAAGGCGGUUGUAGGAUGUUAUCCGUCAGAGGAAGAUGUCACUUACCUCUCAGUUUUGAAGUCAAGGCCUGCAGGACAGUUGAACUCU